GAAAAUUAGAGUGUUCAAAGCAGGCUCUCGAGCCUGGAUAAUGGUGCAUGGAAUAAUGGAAUAGGACCUCGGUUCUAUUUUGUUGGUUUUCGGAGCGCGAGGUAAUGAUUAAGAGGGACAGACGGGGGCAUUCGUACUGUGCCGUUAGAGGUGAAAUUCUUGGAUCGGCGCAAGACGAACGACUGCGAAAGCAUUUGCCAAGAAUGUUUUCUUUAAUCAAGAGCGAAAGUCAGAGGUUCGAAGACGAUCAGAUACCGUCCUAGUUCUGACUAUAAACGAUGCCAACUAGCGAUCGGGGGGCGUUACAUUGACGACCCCUCCGGCAGCUUACGGGAAACCAAAGUCUUUGGGUUCCGGGGGAAGUAUGGUUGCAAAGCUGAAACUUAAAGGAAUUGACGGAAGGGCACCACCAGGAGUGGAGCCUGCGGCUUAAUUUGACUCAACACGGGAAAUCUCACCCGGCCCGGACACAGUGAGGAUUGACAGAUUGAGAGCUCUUUCUUGAUUCUGUGGGUGGUGGUGCAUGGCCGUUCUUAGUUGGUGGAGCGAUUUGUCUGGUUAAUUCCGAUAACGAACGAGACUCUGGCUUGCUAAAUAGUUACGCGACCAUCCCGGUCGGCGUUUAACUUCUUAGAGGGACAAGUGGCGUUUAGCAACACGAGAUUGAGCAAUAACAGGUCUGUGAUGCCCCUUAGAUGUUCGGGGCCGCACGCGCGCUACACUGACCGGAUCAGCGUG
rnacentral:ncRNA from 1 species